UUUUAGCCAGGCUGGAACUUACUUGUACUUGUGCUGGUUCCAAUUGUAUUGAUUGUGGUGGGGACGGAUGAGGAGGAGUAGAGGGGCACAUGACC